CCUACGGGAGGCAGCAGUGAGGAAUAUUGGUCAAUGGACGCAAGUCUGAACCAGCCAAGCCGCGUGAAGGAAGACGGCUCUAUGAGUUGUAAACUGCUUUUAUACGAGGGUAAAUCGUGAUACGUGUAUCGGGUUGAAAGUAUCGUAAGAAUAAGGAUCGGCUAACUCCGUGCCAGCAGCCGCGGUAAUACGGAGGAUUCAAGCGUUAGCCGGAUUUAUUGGGUUUAAAGGGUGCGUAGGCGGUUCGAUAAGUUAGAGGUGAAAUCCGGGGGCUCAACUCCGGCACUGCCUUUGAUACUGGCGGGGUAGAGUAUAGUUGCGGUAGGCGGAAUGUAUGGUGUAGCGGUGAAAUGCAUAGAGAUCAUACAGAACACCGAUUGCGAAGGCAGCUUACCAAACUACGACUGACGUUGAGGCACGAAAGCGUGGGGAGCAAACAGGAUUAGAUACCCUGGUAGUC
rnacentral:rRNA from 1 species